CAACCCUCAAGUAUAACUUGGUGUUGGGUGAAGUCCUUUAUGGGGACCCAUCCCUAACUUAUAGGCGGUCAUCGCCCGCUUUUCCCCCAGCGUAGCAGGCUUAUACGCACUCGCUCGGGGACAGGUGAUUUGACUUGCUCAAAAACCCUUUUUAAAAAG
rnacentral:misc_RNA from 1 species